UUCACGCCGCAGCCAAGCACGGUCCCGUUAACCAGCCUUUAUGUAGUGCCUGUUGUCUACCCGACCCUUUCUCGAGCAUCGGCUCAUUGGCAAAGGAUCGUGAUGCUCACCGGCUGGGGCUUGAAACUCGCUGUGUGACCUUGGGCAAGUGACUUAACCUCUCUGAGGUUGUCUCCAAUCCGUAAAAUACAAUAGAGAUGGGGGUCUCACUAUGCUGGCCAGGCUGCUACUGGGAGAUCCUGAUGACCUCUAGCCCUGGGAUCCAUAUAAGCAUCAUCAACAGGAUAUGAAAAGCAAACAAAACAAGGUCCAGCCCUACGAGGCUUAGCGGGUAUUCUCCCCGUGUGCAGAGAUGAGAGAUCAUAAGAAAUAAAGACACAAGACAAAGAGAUGAAGAGAAAACAGCUGGGCCCAGGGGACCACUACCACCAAGAUGCGGAGACAGGUAGUGGCCCCGAAUGUCUGGGCACGCUGAUAUUACUGCAUACAAGACAAGGGGGCAGGGCAAGGAGGGUGA